rnacentral:rRNA from 1 species
GACGUAGGGCGCAAGCGUUGUCCGGAAUUAUUGGGCGUAAAGAGCUCGUAGGCGGCUUGUUGCGUCGACUGUGAAAAACCACGACUCAACCGUGGGACUGCAGUCGAUACGGGCAGGCUAGAGUUCGGUAGGGGAGACUGGAAUUCCUGGUGUAGCGGUGAAAUGCGCAGAUAUCAGGAGGAACACCAGUGGCGAAGGCGGCUCACUGGCCCGAUACUGACGCUGAGGCACGAAAGCGUGGGGAUCAAACAGG